AUUGAACGCUGGCGGCAGGCCUAACACAUGCAAGUCGAGCGGAUGAAGGGAGCUUGCUCCUGGAUUCAGCGGCGGACGGGUGAGUAAUGCCUAGGAAUCUGCCUGGUAGUGGGGGAUAACGUCCGGAAACGGGCGCUAAUACCGCAUACGUCCUGAGGGAGAAAGUGGGGGAUCUUCGGACCUCACGCUAUCAGAUGAGCCUAGGUCGGAUUAGCUAGUUGGUGGGGUAAAGGCCUACCAAGGCGACGAUCCGUAACUGGUCUGAGAGGAUGAUCAGUCACACUGGAACUGAGACACGGUCCAGACUCCUACGGGAGGCAGCAGUGGGGAAUAUUGGACGAUGGACGAAAGCCUGAUCCAGCCAUGCCGCGUGUGUGAAGAAGGUCUUCGGAUUGUAAAGCACUUUAAGUUGGGAGGAAGGGCAGUAAGUUAAUACCUUGCUGUUUUGACGUUACCAACAGAAUAAGCACCGGCUAACUUCGUG
rnacentral:rRNA from 1 species